CUCACACCGGUCUGAACUCAAAUCAUGUAAAACUUUAAAGGUCGAACAGACCUUCUCUUAUAGUCUCUACUCUAUAAAGAACCUUUAAUUCAACAUCGAGGUCGCAAACUCUCUUGUCGAUAAGAACUCUCAAAGAAAAUUACGCUGUUAUCCCUAAAGUAACUUAAUCUUUAAUCCCUUUUAGGAUCAAUAAUUCAAAUAUUAUUGUAAGAACAAAAGACAGUUAUCCUUUCCUUAUAUCCUUGUCGCCCCAACAAAACAAUUUAAAAUAGUAACCUUAAAAUAAAAUUUAUCUCCAUCUUAAAAUAUAAAGUUUUAUAGGGUCUUAUCGUCCCCUUAGAUCAUUUAAGCCUUUUCACUUAAAAGUUAAAUUCAAUAUAUUAAUUUAAGACAGAUUAUUUCUUGUCCAACCAUUCAUUCUAGCCUUCAAUUAAAAAACUAAUGAUUAUGCUACCUUUGCACGGUCAUAAUACCGCGGCCUUUCAGUUCUUCAAC
rnacentral:rRNA from 1 species